CGAACCCAGUAAACCCUUCCUUAGAACCAUUAUUCUUCUUCAUCGCAACAAUCUUCUUCUUCUUCUUCUUCUUCAAUGCAAACAAUCUUCUUUUUUUCACUGCAAUCAAUCGAAUUCUUUAUUGCACCUUCAUCACCUUCGAACCAUUCGUAAAGUGAAACCCUAACUUUCAUAGAAAUUGAACUGCUUUACUCAAACUUGAAAAUUCGAACCGUUCCUUCGCUGAAAACUUGGAAAUUCGAACCGUUCCCUUCACCCAUUGAUAUGGAACUGAUCGACGUACCGCGAGAGAUCUGGAAGAGAAGAUUGAGAAUAUGGGUGGACAUCUUAAUGCUUAUACUUCGAGGGAGCAGACUACUUAUUAUGCUAAAGUUUCGCAGAAUGAUGUACCUAAUGCACUUGAUAUUCUGGCUGAUAUUCUGUGUUUAUUGCAGUUAUUUUCAAUCUCUUAAUCUCUCGGAUGUUUGAGCUAAUUGUGGACUAAUCGUCUCGGAGGUUUGAGCUAGAAUCAUUAGUGUCUGGGCUGUGCAGAAUUUUCUGUCUCUCGCAGUCUCGCUUCAAUUUCUCUCUUGAUCAUUAUGGCAUCGUGGGGUAAUAGAAAGCAAUAUGAGGCUCAAAUACUUACGAAGGAAAAUUAUGUUUCACUACAAUAGUUUUGAUCUAUGGCAGCACCGCUUUUCUUCCGUUUAUGUUAUUGAGGUUUCCUAAUCUAUAAAAACAUUAGUACAUGUUCAGCUUCAUCAAAGGGAGUUCUAUUUUCACCCUUAUUGUCUUGAUAUGUAUUGUACUUUAUAAGAUGGAGGAGGAAUGUGAAAUGUAUAGAGGGGAGGCUCACAAGGCACCCAUCCUAGCAGCUAUAAAAUUGGGAAUGUGGUCCUUCUGUUCUAUUUUGCAAAAAUGUGAGAUUUCCAUUGAGCAAAAGUGUGUAUGGUGUAGAACCAUCUGAAAGUGCAGUACUGAGAAUAGAGGAAAAUCAGGCAAACAUCAAAUCCAAGGGAUUGGUGUUGGCAUCGUUCCGCCUGUCUUGGAAGUUGGUCUCCUAAAAGAAGUUAUUCAGGUUUUAUGAACGAUACAUGUUUCAAGUGAAGAAGCUAUAGAAACUACUAAGUUGCUUGCCUUGAAAGAAGGUUUACUGUUCAGGACAUUUUCUCAUGAAGGAGAAAACUUCUCAUUCUCAAGCAUGGUUUAUCUAUUCAUGGGUUCCAAAUGUCAUUGUUGCUAAGAAGUAAGAAAACAGAAAAUCCACCUCAAGCAUUAGCGAAAGAAGCAAUUGUUGAUGAGAGAUAUGAGUUAUCUCUUUUUUUAAUCAUCUUAUUUUAAUUAUCAUUUGAUUGUGAUAUUAUAUUUCUAUUGCAAGUUUUUAUUUUGAUAAUGAUUAAAAGUUUCGUAACAUUGUUGAUAGUGACAUGUGUUAAAAGACAAGGCUUGGUGAUAUUUCUUAUCUCUUUCACCUUGUCUUAGUGUUGUUUAUUACUUGUGAAUGUUAUAUUUUACUUUUGUUUC